GAUGAACGCUGGCGGCGUGCUUAACACAUGCAAGUCGAACGGACGGGCCCUGCUUUUGUGGGUUUCUUGAGUGGCGAACGGGUGAGUGACACGUGAGUAACCUGCCCUUGACUUUGGGAUAACUUCAGGAAACUGGGGCUAAUACCGGAUAGGAGCUCCUGCUGCGUGGUGUUGGUUGGAAAAUUUCGGCGUUUGUGGAUAGUCUCGCUGCUUAUCAGCUUGUUUGUGUGGUAGUGACUUACCAGGGUUUAGACGGGUAGCCGGCAUGAGAGCGGGACCGGCCACAAUGGGACUGCGAGACGCAGCAGACGCGUACCGGAGGCAGCGGGCGAGAGUAUGACACAACGGGGGGAAGCCAGAGGCAGCAACGCCGGGUGCGGAAUGACGGCUUACGAGUGAAAAACAGCUUUGGAAGGUGACGAGGCGUGCGUGACGGUAAUGAGUAAAGAAGCAACGGCUAACUACGUG
rnacentral:rRNA from 1 species